rnacentral:rRNA from 1 species
CCCUUAGAUGUUCUGGGCCGCACGCGCGCUACACUGACGAAUGCAACGAGCUUAUAACCUUGGCCGAAAGGUCUGGGUAAUCUCCAAAUUUCGUCGUGAUGGGGAUAGAUUAUUGCAACUAUUAAUCUUCAACGAGGAAUUCCUAGUAAGCGCAUGUCAUCAGCGUGCGUUGAUUACGUCCCUGCCCUUUGUACACACCGCCCGUCGCUCCUACCGAUUGAAUGAUCCGGUGAGGCCCCCGGACUGGGGCGACGCAUUCGGUUCGCCGGACGCGACGCUCCGGGAAGCUGUCCAAACCUUAUUAUUUAGAGGAAGGAGAAGUCGUAACA